GACGAACGCUGGCGGCGUGCUUAACACAUGCAAGUCGAACGGUGAACGAGGAAGCUUGCUCCCUCCGGGUCAGUGGCGAACGGGUGAGUAACACGUGCGCAAGCUGCCCCGAACUCGUGGAUAAGCGUGGGAAACGACUUCUAAUACCGGAUACGACGCGGGAGGGCAUCCUCUCCGCGUGCAAAGGACUUCGGUUCGGGAUGGGCGCGCGGCCCAUCUGCUGGUUGGUGAGGUAACGGCUCACCAAGGCGCCGACGGGUGGCCGGCAUUGGAGGGUGAACGGCGACCAUGGGACUGAGACACGGACCAGAGUCGUACGGGAGGCAGCAGUGGGGAGUCUUGCACAAUGGGCGCACGCCUGAUGCAGCAACGCUGGGUGAGUGAAGCCGGCUUUCGGGGUGUGAACCUCUUUUAGCAGAGAAGCAGCGAAAGUGACGGUACCUGCAGAAAAAGCACCGGCUAACUACGUG
rnacentral:rRNA from 1 species